GAUGAACGCUAGCUACAGGCUUAACACAUGCAAGUCGAGGGGUAACGAGAGGAAAGCUUGCUUUCCUUGUCGACGACCGGCGCACGGGUGAGUAACGCGUAUCCAACCUGCCCCCAACUAGGGAAUAACCUUGCGAAAGUAAGACUAAUACCCUAUAAUUUCCUCAGAUGUCAUCUGACGAGGAAUAAAGAUUUAUCGGUUGUGGAUGGGGAUGCGUCUGAUUAGCUUGUUGGCGGGGUAACGGCCCACCAAGGCAACGAUCAGUAGGGGUUCUGGGAGGAAGGUCCCCCACAUUGGAACUGAGACACGGUCCAAACUCCUACGGGAGGCAGCAGUGAGGAAUAUUGGUCAAUGGGCGGAAGCCUGAACCAGCCAAGUAGCGUGCAGGAUGACGGCCCUAUGGGUUGUAAACUGCUUUUAUACAGGAAUAAAGUUAGCCACGUGUGGUUAUUUGUAGGUACUGUAUGAAUAGGGACCGGCUAAUUCCGUGCCAGCAGCCGCUCGUAA
rnacentral:rRNA from 1 species